GGGGAGGUCCGUGAAUUAUUUAGUGAAGAUUCCUCCCGCAAACGCGUUAGUAGAUUUAUAGACAAGACAAAGCGGACUCACCCUGUCCCGCAGUCAAUCACACAAGGAGAUGUCGGUAAGGAGUUUGCUUGAUCAGGUGUUGCAGAACAGAAUGCUUUAUCAGAUUCCAGCCCAAAUGCCCACUUAUUCAAACCACUAUGUAAUCAAUUUUCUGCCUUGUGUGCUUAACCUUGGAGUUCCAGAUUCCAGCACCUACAGGAAUUUGCUCCUGUCUCCAAUCUAACCUCAAAACUGAAGUUUCUCAUCUCUGGAACCGGCCUUGUCAAUCGCAACUGCACUCUCUCCAAUGUAUUCAAGUCUUUCUUACAUUGUACAAAGUUAAAAAUCACACAACACCAGGUUACAGCCCACAGGUUUAAUUGGAAGCACUAGCUUUCGGAGCACUGCUCCUUCAUCAAGUAGUUGUGGAGUACACAAUUGUAAGACACAGAAUUUAUAGCAAAAGUUUACAGUAUGAUGUAACUGAAAUUAU